GGGCAAGGAUCGGGUUUGCAUGCCAAUGUAUGAAAUAGUGAUAGACCCAACUGCAGUCUGGAUCCAGAUCUGGAUUUGCUUCCCAGGAGGUGUCUGCUGCUCUUCAUCACAGGCAGCCUGCACCCUUUUUUCAAUCACAUUCCAUAAGUAAAGGGUAUGACAGGCACCAGCCCGACAGCCUCAGGGGACGAGAGCCUCUUUAGCCACAGACCUGCUCAGGAGGGGCCUGCUCCAUGGAGGAAAGGGUUCUGUAUGUUCAGUCUCAAUGGCAAAAUAGACUGAGGGCUGGUUUACACCUGAGACUUAAGUGACUGAGCUACGUGGCUUGAAAAAUCCACCCCUCUGAAUGACGUAGUGAAGCCAGUCUAAGCCCCAGCGUAGGCAGCGCUAGGUCGAUGGGAGAAGCUGCUCAGGGAGGUGGAUUUACUACAAUGAUGGAACAACCCCUCCCCUCGCUGCAGUAAGUGUCUCCACUCCAGCACUGCAGCUGUGCUGCUGUAGCCUUUCUAGUGGAGACAUACCCAGGGACCCACCAACUCAAUUGACACAAACAGCCCUGAGAUAGUAACAGCUCCAAUCGCUUCUAGCUUGGGGCCAGAUUGGAACCAGGGACGUUAACGUGACAGGCUCUGUAGCCCAUUUUUACCAACCCAUCCAGUCCCCUUUUCGUUUUCUUUCCUUGCUUUUUUUUUUUUUGCUUUUUUUUUUGCAGCCUCUAAUGACAUGCAGGUAUCCAAAGAAUUGUAUGCCAGGGGUGAUGGGGGAAAUUUCCUGUGAUCUUUUCUCUCGAAGAAGAUUUGGAACAUUUUAAUAAAGUGGAUUAAGGACUCGGCCACAAAAGCAACCUGUUUCCCUCUGACGGAUGCUUUAAUCUUCUUUCUGGGCUGCUGACAAAGGCUUUUCUUAAAGAAAACUCAGGAGCACAAAAGGGAAAAUAAAAGAAAGAGAGCAUAGACCCAGAGAGGUGUGAGAUGUUGAAAGACACCCAUGAAUUGGAGCCACUUGGGUGUUAAUUGUGUUCUCUUUUCCAGGGGCCAGUUUUCCUCUUUCCUUGCCAAUUUCAGAUCAAUGACAGAGUCUGGUGAGCUGGGAUGAGGAAGGAAAAGACUUUGAUUAGAAAAUCUUAGUGGUAAAAAAGAUAUUGAACAAAAAGCUCCGUCGAUGAGCCACUCGAUACAACAAUUAAAAGUAUCUGAAGAGAGAUGACACCUCGCCAGACACAUGUGGGAGCCCAGCAGAAAUGCCUGCCAUUUCCGGCUGUUGCCCCAGGACACAAACAGGCACUAAUCAGCAAGAUCGAUGAUCCACUUGUGACAAAGGCAUGCUGGGAAAUUGGCCAGUGAGAAGGUCCCAUCGCCCUGCAGGACGGGGCCUGUGCCUGCUUUACUGUGGCUGAUGUGCGUCAUGCCCUGAGGAGGAACCAGCAGUGCAAAAUGUGGCCUUCAGAAAAGCAGAGCUGCUCCCAGUCCGGUACUUGUGGCAUUAUGAUCAUCUCCAUGGCAACCGAUUAUGAUGAUAUAAAUAAGCCCUUACGACAUCAUAUUGCACAGAGGAGAAGGAGCAAGAGAUGCACCACAAGGGGAAAAGCAAUUGUUAAAAUGCAGCCGAUCGCAGAUCAUUCUAACUCUCCACAAAGGAAGCAAUGACCUUAAAUUACAUGCAAAUA